UACAUACUCCCUCCGUUCUGAAUUACUUGUCUUGGAUUUGUCUAGAUACGGAUGUAUUUAGACUCAUUUUAGUGCUAGAUACUUCUGUAUCUAGACAAAUCCAAGACAAGUAAUUCAGAACGGAGGGAGUACUAC
rnacentral:pre_miRNA from 1 species